ensembl:lncRNA
ACAGAAUGAAUCUGUGUAGGAGGAGGACCCUUAAGCUUCUGGACGCUAGGGAGAAGUAUGGACUGAAUGAUAGAUGAGUAUCACUCAGCUCCCUCCGAGUCCCUCAUGGAAGCCCGGGGUGGAGCAGAAUGAGCUGUACAACCUGGCUGUGAACCCUGACUUUGCCAUGACGGGUACAUGUUGAUUUCUCAGGGCCUCACUUUCCUCAUCUUCACAGCUGAUAUGGAGAUUGGGCCUAUCCCAUGCCUAGCUCACCAGCACCACUGGGAAUUAGACCCAGGACUGUGAAUGUUGGCAGGUCCUCACAACCCCUGGGCUUAUUUAGAUGCAUCCUGUGGCUCUGAGCCCAUUCCUUUCACCCAACCCUCUUGCUUUGCUGAAGCUCUCCUCCUCCCCUGCAAACUCCUGAUGUCCUCGGCUCUGUGCUAACAAGGGGUUUUCGGGAGCGGGGAUGGAUUAAAAUGUAGUGGCAUACCCUCAUUUUGCGUCACCGCGUGUGUGACUAAUAGUCAUGGAAUUCAUGCCACAGAUAAAUAAUUGGCCCUUCAGCCAUCUUCCAUGUCUUCAGAGACACGCAGCCAUGAUGUAUCACAGCCACAGACAUCUCAAUGAGCAUCGUCUCUAGAUCAUAAUAGAUCAUGUUACAUUUGUAUAUGCUCAGGAACAUAAUUUACUAUUAAACAGGGCCAAGAUCAGCUCCGAAGAAAUUAUUCUUCCGCAGAAGCGGACUCUUCGACUGCAUUAUAUGCACGACUAUCUGUAUCUACCUGUUUUAAAAAUUGCAGAGAGGUUCGUGCUCUUAACUAUGAAAGUGUCGCUUGCAUCUCCCUCAUCUAAGGNAAAAAUUGCAGAGAGGUUCGUGCUCUUAACUAUGAAAGUGUCACUUGCAUCUCCCUCAUCUAAGGACUCUCAAGGGAAGUUGACACUUUCCUCCAUGUAUCUUCCUGUGGAUGGGAUAAAGCUGUGAAGAGCAGAGGAGUGGAACGGAAGAGAUUUCAAAGGAGGUCUCAUAUCUGAGUCAACGAUUCUGGUCCAGUCAAGUAGCUGAGAGCAUGAAAAUCUAAUUAGAGAAUUUUUGUGCCUUGAACUAAAUGUUACAUAAGCUUCUCCCCUAUUUGUUGCUAUUUUGUAGAAAGGAAAGCAAAGAAAGUUAUAGCAAGAUCUACCCUGUUGACAAAAAGAAAUUUUCAACCAUGGUCUAAAAAUCUGUAAUGUAAAAGGCCAAGCAGGGGCUCCCCAACUCUAUUUUUUUUUAAAAUCUAAUGUCAAGUUCACACCCCUUGAUGAGUGUAAGGAAUUUCAGUACUCAGUGACUACAGGCAGGGAACUUCUGAGAAGACAUAAGCUUGAAUCAUCUUAGACUGAAUCCAUUGACAAACCCAAGAGCAUCCGGAUGGAGCACAGACCUGGAGCAAUUCGUGUUUGAUCUGAUGGACUCCUUAUCUCCGUCAGGACAGGAGGCUUUGCAGGAAAGCAGAAGCCAAACUAAAUUCCAGAUGGAGAGGAAAUCCAAGUGUCACCCUGGGAUGCCGAUGAUCUGGUUUAGUCAUUAAGAAUGCCACAGCUAACAGAAAGCUCCAAUCUGAGCCGUUAAGAAUUUACUAGUUUUGUCUCUCAACCCCUAC